rnacentral:misc_RNA from 1 species
GGUUGGUCUAAUUCAAAUUGUAAGUAUUUGUGCUUUUAUGUUUUUUGGAUUCUCAGCAAUAUAGAUGAUUUUGCUUAUUAUUUGAGGUUCUAAUUUUUUCUAAAUAGAUUGAAUCGUAGCUUCGUAUUUUCUUUCUUGGUUCAAAUGCUUGUGAAGAAUUUGUAUGAAUACUAGAAUCAACUUCCAUUUAGAGGAGAUUCUGGUAGAAAUUUUAUACAUACUUAUCCUGUUUAUGAGGAAUUGCUUUCUUGGUUCACAAUUUGUUUUAACUGGCAGAUUUGAAACCGGUUUUAUAAUUGUGUCAUG